UCCAGGGAUGGUAGCCUAGUGGACAUGGCAUCUACCCGGUAAGCAGAACACUGUGCGUUCAAUGCCCAUCACUGGAC